rfam:Octopus bimaculoides Scaffold18312_contig_108, whole genome shotgun sequence.
CUCGCGAUAGCUCAGUUGGUAGAGCGGAGGACUGUAGUGCGUUGUUAAAAUCUGUAAUCCUUAGGUCGGUGGUUCGAAUCCGUCUCGCGAGA